GUCGAACGAGAACCCGUUCUUCGGAAAGGGUAAAAGUGGCGACCUGGUUAGUAUAAGUUGGGCAACCUGCCCGGAAGUGGGGGAUAACAUCGAGAAAUCGGUGCUAAUACCGCAUGUGGACCGAGGGAGUUCGCUUCCUUUGUCUAAAGCAGCAGUGCGCUUCCGGAUGGGCCCGACCCCCAUUAGCUAGUUGGUAAGGUAACGGCUUACCAAGGCUACGAUGGGUAGCUGGCCUGAGAGGGUGGUCAGCAACACGAGGACUGAGAUACGGCCUCGACUCCUACGGGGGGCAGCAGUCUAGAGGCUUCGGCAAUGGGCGAAAGCCUGACCGAGCGACGCCGCGUGUGGGAUGAAGCCUCUCGGGGUGUAAACCACUUUCGACCGGAAAGAAUGCCUGGAUGGCGAAUCCAGGAGUGACGGUACCGGGAGAAGAAGCACCGGCUAACUCCGUGCCAGCAGCCGCGGUAAUACGGGGGGUGCAAGCGUUAUUCGGAUUUAUUGGGCGUAAAGGGCGCGUAGGCGGCUGGGCAAGUCCGGUGUGAAAACGCUAUCGCUCAACGAAGCGAGUGCAUUGGAAACUGCCCAACUUGAGUGCGAGAGAGGUUAGUGGAAUACCUGGUGUAGCGGUGGAAUGCGUAGAUAUCAGGUAGAAUACCCGUGGCGAAGGCGGCUAACUGGCUCGUAACUGACGCUGAGGCGC
rnacentral:rRNA from 1 species